rnacentral:rRNA from 1 species
CUGCCUAAUACAUGCAAGUCGAACGAACUCUGGUAUUGAUUGGUGCUUGCAUCAUGAUUUACAUUUGAGUGAGUGGCGAACUGGUGAGUAACACGUGGGAAACCUGCCCAGAAGCGGGGGAUAACACCUGGAAACAGAUGCUAAUACCGCAUAACAACUUGGACCGCAUGGUCCGAGUUUGAAAGAUGGCUUCGGCUAUCACUUUUGGAUGGUCCCGCGGCGUAUUAGCUAGAUGGUGGGGUAACGGCUCACCAUGGCAAUGAUACGUAGCCGACCUGAGAGGGUAAUCGGCCACAUUGGGACUGAGACACGGCCCAAACUCCUACGGGAGGCAGCAGUAGGGAAUCUUCCACAAUGGACGAAAGUCUGAUGGAGCAACGCCGCGUGAGUGAAGAAGGGUUUCGGCUCGUAAAACUCUGUUGUUAAAGAAGAACAUAUCUGAGAGUAACUGUUCAGGUAUUGACGGUAUUUAACCAGAAAGCCACGGCUAACUACGUGCCAGCAGCCGCGGUAAUACGUAGGUGGCAAGCGUUGUCCGGAUUUAUUGGGCGUAAAGCGAGCGCAGGCGGUUUUUUAAGUCUGAUGUGAAAGCCUUCGGCUCAACCGAAGAAGUGCAUCGGAAACUGGGAAACUUGAGUGCAGAAGAGGACAGUGGAACUCCAUGUGUAGCGGUGAAAUGCGUAGAUAUAUGGAAGAACACCAGUGGCGAAGGCGGCUGUCUGGUCUGUAACUGACGCUGAGGCUCGAAAGUAUGGGUAGCAAACAGGAUUAGAUACCCUGGUAGUCCAUACCGUAAACGAUGAAUGCUAAGUGUUGGAGGGUUUCCGCCCUUCAGUGCUGCAGCUAACGCAUUAAGCAUUCCGCCUGGGGAGUACGGCCGCAAGGCUGAAACUCAAAGGAAUUGACGGGGGCCCGCACAAGCGGUGGAGCAUGUGGUUUAAUUCGAAGCUACGCGAAGAACCUUACCAGGUCUUGACAUACUAUGCAAAUCUAAGAGAUUAGACGUUCCCUUCGGGGACAUGGAUACAGGUGGUGCAUGGUUGUCGUCAGCUCGUGUCGUGAGAUGUUGGGUUAAGUCCCGCAACGAGCGCAACCCUUAUUAUCAGUUGCCAGCAUUAAGUUGGGCACUCUGGUGAGACUGCCGGUGACAAACCGGAGGAAGGUGGGGAUGACGUCAAAUCAUCAUGCCCCUUAUGACCUGGGCUACACACGUGCUACAAUGGAUGGUACAACGAGUUGCGAACUCGCGAGAGUAAGCUAAUCUCUUAAAGCCAUUCUCAGUUCGGAUUGUAGGCUGCAACUCGCCUACAUGAAGUCGGAAUCGCUAGUAAUCGCGGAUCAGCAUGCCGCGGUGAAUACGUUCCCGGGCCUUGUACACACCGCCCGUCACACCAUGAGAGUUUGUAACACCCAAAGUCGGUGGGGUAACCUUUUAGGAACCAGCCGCCUAAGGUGGGACAGAUGAUUAGGGUGAAGUCGUAACAAGAGGC